rnacentral:rRNA from 1 species
AUUGAACGCUGGCGGCAUGCCUUACACAUGCAAGUCGAACGGCAGCACGGGAGCAAUCCUCGUGGCGAGUGGCAAACGGUUGAGUAAUAUAUCGGAACGUGCCCAGUAGUGGGGGAUAACUGCUCGAAAGACCAGCUAAUACCGCAUACGAACUGAGGGUGCAAGGGGGGCAUCGCAAGACCUCUCGCUAUUGCAGCGGCCGAUAUCAGAUUAGCUAGUUGGUGGGGUAAAGGCCUACCAAGGCAACGAUCUGUAGCUGGUCUGAGAGGACGACCAGCCAAACUGGGACUGAGAAACGGCCCAGGCUCCUACGGGAGGCAGCAGUAGGGAAUUUUGGACAAUGGGCGCAAGCCUGAUCGAGCAACGCCGCGUGCAGGAAGAAGGCCUUCGGGUCGUAAACUGCUUUUGUCAGGGAAGAAAAGCACUGGGUUAAUACCCUGGGGUCAUGACGGUACCGUAAGAAUAAGCACCGGCUAACUACGUGCCAGCAGCCGCCGUAAAAC